UACGUAGGGGGCUAGCGUUGUCCGGAAUCAUUGGGCGUAAAGCGCGUGUAGGCGGUUCGGUAAGUCUGCUGUGAAAGUCGGGGGCUCAACCCUCGAAUGCCGGUGGAUACUGUCGGACUAGAGUGCGGAAGAGGCGAGUGGAAUUCCUGGUGUAGCGGUGAAAUGCGCAGAUAUCAGGAGGAACACCGGUGGCGAAGGCGGGUCUCUGGGCCGUAACUGACGCUGAGGAGCGAAAGCGUGGGGAGCGAACAGG
rnacentral:rRNA from 1 species